rnacentral:lncRNA from 1 species
GUGAGAGCUGAUGCUCUCUGAGCAAUCGAGUGCUUAUUAUUAUUUCUCUUGGAUAGGUCACCUGGGAAUUGAGGAAUUUUUCAUUUUAAAUUAAAAAGAAAUCUUUUAUAAUGCUCAUUUCUGAAAGAAAAAAAAAAAAGAGAAGCCACCUCAUCAUGGAAGCAAUUAGAUGGAGGACACACUGGAAGGAGUGAUUAGUUGUUAAUUUUUGAGCUGUUGACCCUGACAGAAGGUUUUUUUGACAAUUUUUUUUUAGGUGUCUUUCAUAUGCCUACAGUCCGUGGUUACUUCUCAUUCAAUAGCAAUUACCGUAUGCCCGUUUUGUGCUAAGGGCUGCUCGAGGUGGAUGCUGUGGUCCCUGUCAGAUGUGUGCCAAAUUGAAAUGCCAGCAGCUGUGUGAGCAGCGGGAUAAUCGUAUCUGCUGCUUCUCUCUUCCAAGUCCUGGCAUUCCCAUUUUAGCAGUGGUGUGUCCAUGCUCAGCUCCACAGGAGGAAAUCCAUUGACUGAAGCCGUGCUGACACCUGGGGGACGUGGCUGCAUGCUCAUCAGUCACCUGUGUGACUGCAGACCCACUGGAGAACACAACCCUGGAGGCAGCAGUUUUUAUCAACUUCUCCUGCUGACCAGAUGAAGGCUCAGUGAUAAAUAAACGUCCUCCCACCCACUACAGCUCCCCAGCCCUCACCGUCUCCCGCUGGCUGCUGGGAUGCAGAGCAAUGGGAGAGCAAUGGACUGUCAUCAAAGAAGGCCAUGAGCUGCUCUGCCAGUGGAGAAGAACUGCUUCUGCUCAUUCAGGACGCAUACAGUACUGCUGCUCUAUUCUUGUAGCCAAGACAGUGUCAGAUGAACGUUUUCUGCCGGCUACAACAUAUGAAAAAGUGAGUACGUUAUCCAAUAAGCUUGAUUUAGGAAAUGAGGUUUGUUCACUGUUACCACCAUGCAGGUGCAGUGAAAGAGGCCUCCUGUAAAGGGCAGAAUGAAAGACAAACCAUUCCAGUUGGUUACUAGAGGCGUAUCAGUAAAGAUUACCUCCUGCAUACAUCAAAUGAUUGAUAGCAAGUUUUAAAGCUUUUCUAGUUCUCUGCUAGUGCUAUCCAACUGCAAUAAAACAUAAAGAUUUCUCUGAUACCCUUCCA